rnacentral:rRNA from 1 species
GGUUGCCAACUCGCGAGAGGGAGCUAAUCCGAUAAAGUCGUUCUCAGUUCGGAUUGUAGGCUGCAACUCGCCUACAUGAAGCCGGAAUCGCUAGUAAUCGCGGAUCAGCAUGCCGCGGUGAAUACGUUCCCGGGCCUUGUACACACCGCCCGUCACACCACGAGAGUUUGUAACACCCGAAGUCGGUGGGGUAACCGUUAUGGAGCCAGCCGCCGAAGGUGGGAUAGAUGAUUGGGGUGAAGUCGUAACAAGGUAGCCGUAUCGGAAGGUGCGGCUGGAUCACCUCCUUUCUAAGGA